CCUCGGCCUCCCAAAGUGCUGGGAUUACAAGCGUGAGCCACCGCGCCCGGCCCGCAUCUCUUGUUUGGCUCCCAUGAACAACAUCUUCCCUUUCCUGGCCUGCUGUUGCUCUGGCAUGUGACCAAUUUUUGUGAACAUGUAUGUGAUCCAAAUAUUGACAGUUCACCAUGCCACACCUUACCCCAGCCUCAUCAUAGCAUACUCUAGGGACACAAGAGGCGAUUUCAAGAAACACUAAUAGGAUUGUGAGAAAGUUGGCCAAGGAAGAGGAACAGCCAAUAAACGGUGACUUGUCAAGACAGUUAGGACCCUGGGAGCUAAAUCUGCCUGGAGAACUCUGGAAAUCAGUGUGGAACACAUACUUCAGCAUCAUCUCAGCUAAUGGACAAGUAAGCUUUCUGACUGAAGCCCAUGUUUUGACUGGAGCACCUUGAUUAAACAGAAGACCCUCUGAGGAAACACCACAGACAAAAGUGUACAUGGUAAAUAUUCCUCCAAGAUUUCCCAAAGGAUCAUAUGGCUGUUUUCCAUCAUGAUAGAAAGCAAGAAGAAAAUAUAAAAUAAGCUUUCAGCAAUUUAAAAUGCAGCAGAAGGAGUUACAUGCCAUUUUCCAGAAAAAAAUAUCAACCUGUAGCAGAUUUGCAAUCUGAACCUGAGCUCUGCAUGGACAUUGCCAAACUUCAAGCCAGCAAAUCAAGCUGAGAGAACAUCUCCUGAGGUCCCUGCCUCCUGCCUCACAUCUCGUACAUCUUGAUUACCUUGCUGAGGCUGCUCUAUUGACCUUAAGCCAGCCUCACAGCAGAGAAAAGAUUUCCAGAAAGACUUUUAUUUAUCAUUCUGUGGAAGGAAACUUUGGCUAUAGUUGAUGAGAAUUAAUUUGUCUCCCUUGUCACCUCCAUGCAAAAUGCAAUUCUGAAUAGUUUCUUAGUAGAUGGUCCAGAGACUUCAAGAGAUCUAGCAAUUAGCUCUUAGCAAGUGGAUGCUUUAGUAAGUGGCUUUGACAUAGCCUCAAAUGUUUCUAUGUCCUUUCAUAACUUAAUCCUAGCCUUGUCUUGCUCUCCUGUUAUUUAGAAUUGCAUGCAAACCUAGUAUCAGGCUCUGCUUUCAGGUG
rnacentral:lncRNA from 1 species